GAUGAACGCUGGCGGCGUGCCUAAUACAUGCAAGUCGAGCGAACAGAUAAGGAGCUUGCUCCUUUGACGUUAGCGGCGGACGGGUGAGUAACACGUGGGUAACCUACCUAUAAGACUGGGAUAACUUCGGGAAACCGGAGCUAAUACCGGAUAACAUUUGGAACCGCAUGGUUCUAAAGUGAAAGAUGGUUUUGCUAUCACUUAUAGAUGGACACGCGCCGUAUUAGCUAGUUGGUAAGGUAACGGCUUACCAAGGCAACGAUACGUAGCCGACCUGAGAGGGUGAUCGGCCACACGGGAACUGAGACACGGUCCAGACUCCUACGGGAGGCAGCAGUAGGGAAUCUUCCGCAAUGGGCGAAAGCCUGACGGAGCAACGCCGCGUGAGUGAUGAAGGGUUUCGGCUCGUAAAACUCUGUUAUUAGGGAAGAACAAACGUGUAAGUAACUGUGCACGUCUUGACGGUACCUAAUCAGAAAGCCACGGCUAACUACGUG
rnacentral:rRNA from 1 species